rnacentral:rRNA from 1 species
GACGAACGCUGGCGGCGUGCUUAACACAUGCAAGUCGAACGGACAGGCCCUGCUUUUGUGUGGUGCUCGAGUGGCGAACGGGUGAGUAACACGUGAGUAACCUGCCCUUGACUUUGUGAUAACUUCAGGAAACUGGGGCUAAUACCGGAUAGGAGCUCCUGCUGCAUGGUGGGGGUUGGAAAGUUUCGGCGGUUGGGGAUGGACUCGCGGCUUAUCAGCUUGUUUGUGGGGUAGUGGCUGACCAAGGCUUUGACGGAUAGCCGGCCUGGGAGGGUGACCGGCGACCUGGGGACUGAGAUACGGCCCAGACGCGUACGGGCGGCAGCGGUGGGGAAUCUUGCGCAGCGGCGGGAAGUGAGUGGCGGCAGCCCCGGGUGCGGAAUACCGGCUUACGGGUGGAAAACCGCUUUCGCCUGUACCGAACAGAGAGUGACGGUAACGGGUAAGAAAGCCCCGGCUAACUACGUG